AAUAUUGGACAAUGGGCGCAAGCCUGAUCCAGCCAUACCGCGUGUGUGAAGUAGGUCUUCGGAUUGUAAAGCACUGUAAUUUGGGAGGAAGGGCAGUUAACGAAUACUUACUUGUUUUGACGUUACCAACAGAAUAAGCACCCGCUAACUUCGUUCCAGCAGCCGUGGUAAUACGAAGGGUGGUAGCUUUAAUCGGAAUUAAUGGGCUUAAAGCGCGCGUAGGUGGUUCGUUAAGUUGGAAGUGAAAGCCCCGGGCUCAACCUGGGAAUUGCUUUCAAAACUGGCGGGCUAGAGUACGGUAGAGGGUGGUGGAAUUUCCUGUGUAGCGGUGAAAUGCGUAGAUAUAGGAAGGAACAUCAGUGGCGAAGGCGACCACCUGGACUGAUACUGACACUGAGGUGCGAAAGCGUGGGGAGCAAACAGG
rnacentral:rRNA from 1 species